rnacentral:rRNA from 1 species
AUUGAACGCUGGCGGCAGGCCUAACACAUGCAAGUCGAACGGUAGCACAGAGAGCUUGCUCUCGGGUGACGAGUGGCGGACGGGUGAGUAAUGUCUGGGAAACUGCCUGAUGGAGGGGGAUAACUACUGGAAACGGUAGCUAAUACCGCAUAACGUCGCAAGACCAAAGUGGGGGACCUUCGGGCCUCAUGCCAUCAGAUGUGCCCAGAUGGGAUUAGCUAGUAGGUGGGGUAACGGCUCACCUAGGCGACGAUCCCUAGCUGGUCUGAGAGGAUGACCAGCCACACUGGAACUGAGACACGGUCCAGACUCCUACGGGAGGCAGCAGUGGGGAAUAUUGCACAAUGGGCGCAAGCCUGAUGCAGCCAUGCCGCGUGUAUGAAGAAGGCCUUCGGGUUGUAAAGUACUUUCAGCGAGGAGGAAGGCGGUGAGGUUAAUAACCUCAUCGAUUGACGUUACUCGCAGAAGAAGCACCGGCUAACUCCGUGCCAGCCGCCGCGGUAAGAC